GACGAACGCUGGCGGCGUGCUUAACACAUGCAAGUCGAACGGAAAGGCCCUGCUUUUGUGGGGUGCUCGAGUGGCGAACGGGUGAGUAACACGUGAGUAACCUGCCCUUGACUUUGGGAUAACUUCAGGAAACUGGGGCUAAUACCGGAUAGGAGCUCCUGCUGCAUGGUGGGGGUUGGAAAGUUUCGGCGGUUGGGGAUGGACUCGCGGCUUAUCAGCUUGUUGGUGGGGUAGUGGCUUACCAAGGCUUUGACGGGUAGCCGGCCGGGGGGGGUGACCGGCCACAUGGGAAUGGGGGUCCGGCCAGAACCCCUAGGGAGGGAGGAGGGGGGAAUAUUGCCACAAGGGGCGAAGGCCUAGGGCGGCAACCCCGGGUGGGGAAGACGGGCCUUGGGGUGGAAAACGGCUUUCGCUUUGAACAAGGCGGGGUUGCGGUAAUGGGUAAAAGAGGCACGGCCAACCUCGUU
rnacentral:rRNA from 1 species